rnacentral:rRNA from 1 species
AAUAGAUACCCCGGUAGUCCACGCCGUAAACGAUGAGUGCUAAGUGUUAGGGGGUUUCCGCCCCUUAGUGCUGCAGCUAACGCAUUAAGCACUCCGCCUGGGGAGUACGGCCGCAAGGCUGAAACUCAAAGGAAUUGACGGGGGCCCGCACAAGCGGUGGAGCAUGUGGUUUAAUUCGAAGCAACGCGAAGAACCUUACCAGGUCUUGACAUCUCCUGACCGCCCUGGAGACAGGGUCUUCCCUUCGGGGACAGGAUGACAGGUGGUGCAUGGUUGUCGUCAGCUCGUGUCGUGAGAUGUUGGGUUAAGUCCCGCAACGAGCGCAACCCUUGUCCUUAGUUGCCAGCAUUCAGUUGGGCACUCUAAGGAGACUGCCGGCUAAAAGUCGGAGGAAGGUGGGGAUGACGUCAAAUCAUCAUGCCCCUUAUGACCUGGGCUACACACGUGCUACAAUGGGCGGUACAGAGGGUCGCGAACCCGCAAGGGGGGAGCCGAAUCCCAAAAAACCGCUCUCAGUUCGGAUUGCAGGCUGCAACUCG